rnacentral:rRNA from 1 species
ACACGACUACAUUAGAUACCCGUGUAGUCCCAGCCCUAAACGAUGCGCGUUAGGUGUAUCGGUGACCACGAGUCACUGAGGUGCCGAAGGGAAACCGUGAAACGCACCGCCUGGGAGUACGGUCGCAAGGCUGAAACUUAAAGGAAUUGCGGGGGAGCACCACAACGGGUGGAGCCUGCGGUUUAAUCGGACUCAACGCCGGGAAUCUCACCGGAUAAGACAGCUGAAUGAUAGUCGGGAUGAAGACUCUACUUGACUAGCUG